GAUGAACGCUGGCGGCGUGCCUAAUACAUGCAAGUCGAGCGAACAGACGAGGAGCUUACUCCUCUGACGUUAGCGGCGGACGGGUGAGUAACACGUGGAUAACCUACCUAUAAGACUGGGAUAACUUCGGGAAACCGGAGCUAAUACCGGAUAACAUGUUGAACCGCAUGGUUCAACAGUGAAAGACGGUCUUGCUGUCACUUAUAGAUGGAUCCGCGUCGCAUUAGCUAGUUGGUAAGGUAACGGCUUACCAAGGCAACGAUGCGUAGCCGACCUGAGAGGGUGAUCGGCCACACUGGAACUGAGACACGGUCCAGACUCCUACGGGAGGCAGCAGUAGGGAAUCUUCCGCAAUGGGCGAAAGCCUGACGGAGCAACGCCGCGUGAGUGAAGAAGGUCUUCGGAUCGUAAAACUCUGUUAUUAGGGAAGAACAAAUGUGUAAGUAACUAUGCACGUCUUGACGGUACCUAAUCAGAAAGCCACGGCUAACUACGUGCCAGCAGCCGCGGUAAUACGUAGGUGGCAAGCGUUAUCCGGAAUUAUUGGGCGUAAAGCGCGCGUAGGCGGUUUUUUAAGUCUGAUGUGAAAGCCCACGGCUCAACCGUGGAGGGUCAUUGGAAACUGGAAAACUUGAGUGCAGAAGAGGAAAGUGGAAUUCCAUGUGUAGCGGUGAAAUGCGCAGAGAUAUGGAGGAACACCAGUGGCGAAGGCGACUUUCUGGUCUGUAACUAACGCUGAUGUGCGAAAGCGUGGGGAUCAAACAGGAUUAGAUACCCUGGUAGUCCACGCCGUAAACGAUGAGUGCUAAGUGUUAGGGGGUUUCCGCCCCUUAGUGCUGCAGCUAACGCAUUAAGCACUCCGCCUGGGGAGUACGACCGCAAGGUUGAAACUCAAAGGAAUUGACGGGGACCCGCACAAGCGGUGGAGCAUGUGGUUUAAUUCGAAGCAACGCGAAGAACCUUACCAAAUCUUGACAUCCUCUGACCCCUCUAGAGAUAGAGUUUUCCCCUUCGGGGGACAGAGUGACAGGUGGUGCAUGGUUGUCGUCAGCUCGUGUCGUGAGAUGUUGGGUUAAGUCCCGCAACGAGCGCAACCCUUAAGCUUAGUUGCCAUCAUUAAGUUGGGCACUCUAAGUUGACUGCCGGUGACAAACCGGAGGAAGGUGGGGAUGACGUCAAAUCAUCAUGCCCCUUAUGAUUUGGGCUACACACGUGCUACAAUGGACAAUACAAAGGGUAGCGAAACCGCGAGGUCAAGCAAAUCCCAUAAAGUUGUUCUCAGUUCGGAUUGUAGUCUGCAACUCGACUACAUAAAGCUGGAAUCGCUAGUAAUCGUAGAUCAGCAUGCUACGGUGAAUACGUUCCCGGGUCU
rnacentral:rRNA from 1 species